UACGUAGGCGGAAAAUUAAGUCAGUAGUGAAAUCCUGCAGCUUAACUGUAGAACUGUUAUUGAUACUGGUUUUCUUGAAUAUAGUUGAGGUAAGCGGAAUGUGUAAUGUAGCGGUGAAAUGCUUAGAUAUUACACAGAACACCGAUUGCGAAGGCAGCUUACUAAGCUAUGAUUGACGCUGAGGUACGAAAGCGUGGUGAGCGAACAGGAUUAGAUACCCUGGUAGUCC
rnacentral:rRNA from 1 species